CGGACUCCUCAGCAACCUCGCCACACUCGGGACUGUGGAGACUGCUCUGUGCUCUCAGGAAACUACUGUCUUAAGCCACGGUGGUGCAGGCUGUGCCUGUGGUGCUCGGUGCCAGGGGCUUCACUGGGGUGGGA
rnacentral:lncRNA from 1 species